AACUCUGGCACUCCUUUAUACAGUUUCAGGAUGCAAGCUCGAGGCUUCUUGAUCCUAUGUGUUGUAUUGAGUGUUGGUCACUGGUCUUUGGGAAGCUUGGACAGAAGUGGGGCAGCCAUGGAGCUGCUGACUGGGACUGGCCUGUGGCCCGUGGUCAUAGUCACAGUCAUCUUCAUAUUACUGGUGGACAUGUUGCACCGGUGCCAGCGCUGGACUUCUUGCUGCCCACCAGACCCUGUGCCAUGGCCUGUGCUGGGUAACCUGCUGCAGGUGGACCUGGAUAACAUGCCAUAUAACUUGUACAAGCUUCACAACCGCUAUGGUGACGUGUUCAGCCUGCAGAUGGGCUGGAACCACAUGGCCGUGAUCAACGGACUGAAGGUGAUACAGGAAGUGUUGGUGACCUGUGGAGAGGACACUGCUGACCGCCCUGAAAUGCCCAUCUUUCCACACCUAGGCUAUGGGCAAAAAGCUAAAGGUGUGGUCCUUGCUCCUUAUGGGCCUGAGUGGAAAGAGCAGAGGUGAUUCUCUGCGUCGACCCUGUGCAACUUCAGCCUGGGCAAGAAAUCACUGGAGCAGUGGGUGAUGGAAGAGGUUGGACACCUCUUUGAUGUCUUCACUGCCCAUGCUGAGGAGGCUGUAGACAAGAGAUUUGGAAAGAACACAUCUAGAAGUGUCCACCACAGUAAUAGGAGCCUGGAGAUUGACAUACAGCAAAAGGAAGUGAGAAGCUGACCAAGGUCAGGGCUUCUAGAAGCUGAGACCCUGGCCCUCUGCCCACAUGGAACAUCUGUGAGAUUUUCCAGGUUCUGAACACAUUCCCAAUUCUCCUACGCAUCCCAGGGUUGGCUGACAAAGUCUUCCCUGGGCAAAAGACAUUUCUCAUAAUGGUGGAUAAGCUGGUGACUGAGCACAAGAGGACCUGGAACUCGGACCAGCCGCCUCGAGACCUGACUGAUGCCUUUAUGGCUGAGAUGGAGAAGGCAAAGGGAAACCCUGAGAGUAGCUUCAAUGAUGCAAAUCUAUGUCUGGUUGUCCUUGACCUGCUGGGUGCUGCAACUGUGACCACCUCAACCACACUGUCCUGGGCCCUGCUGCUUAUGAUCCUGCAUCCGGAUGUGCAGUGUGAGCCUGGCUGGGGCUGUCAAGAAAGGAGGAGGAGGGUAGAGGCAAACUCCUUAAACUUACUUGGGACACUUGUAGAUCCCAGCAUUGAGUUAACCCAGACUGCAGUAAGUAUGGUUGCCUUAUUUCUCCCAUGGACCCAGCCCUUAACAGAGAGGUAGUGGAUGGACAAGGGGCACCCACUGAAGCAUCUUAACUGAUGGGAAAAUGUCCUUCCAGGCCAAGUACAACAGGAAAUCGAUGAGGUCAUUUGGUAUGUGUGGCUUCCAGAGAUGGCAGACCAGGUCUGCAUGCCCUUCACCAAUGCUGUCAUUCAUGAGGUACAGUGCUUACAGUUACUGGGAUAUCAUCCCAAUAACUUUGCCACACAGGACUUCUCGUGACAUUGAAGUGUGGGGCUUUCUUAUCCCUAAGGUAGGUCUGGGUCUCUCCAGUGUCUAGUCAGUGUUGCCAGCUACCCGCUGACUUGAUCUGCCCAGUUAAGAAGGACUAGAUUACAGGCAUUCCAAUUCUCAACUCAAGGGAACCAACAUCCCCUGGGUAAAUAUGGGAAUAGAAACAAGAGCAAUAACUGCUUUAGAAUCCCUACCUAGAAAUGCAGGCAAGGUAAAAUAUGGCAGGAGUGGUUGUAACAGCCACUACCUACAAAUACAGGUCACAGUGUGUACAUCUGUCCCAUCACAUUUCCAUGUCACAGUAUUAAUGAAAUCUGUGAAGCUUCUGUGGUUAGUUUAUAUGACAGCAUCCAGUGUGUGUGUGGUACAGGCUGUGCCUGUGAAUGUCGUGACUAGUAAGGGUCUAGUAAAACUCACCCUGUUCAUGUUCACACAAUGUGCUUCAUGCCAGGGCAUGACUCUCAUCUCCAACCUGUUCCGUGCUGAAGGAUGAGACUGUCUGGGAGAAGCCCCUUCGCUUCCAUCCUGAACACUUCCUGGAUGCCCAGGGCCACUUUGUGAAGCCUGAGGCCUUCAUGCCAUUCUCAGCAGGUGCCUCUAGGGUGCCUUCCUGCCUAUCUUUCCCUAGGGUGCCUUGGAGGGUGGAGCACCAAUCAGGUCCCAGACUGAGCCCUCUUCUACACAUAGGCCACAGAUCAUGCCUGGGGGAGCCCCUGGCCCUCAUGGAGCUCUUCCUCUUCUUCACCUGCCUCCUGCAGCGCUUUAGCUUCUCAAUGCCAGCUGGACAAUCCCUUCCCAGUGAUUAUGGCAUCUAUACAAUGCCAGUUACUCCAGCACCUACCAGCUCUGUGCAGUGGUUUGCUAGCAGGGGCAGUGGCUCCAGCCAUCAUCACAGAUUGUUCUGACUGAUGUCCAAUAAACAAGUUUUGUGUCUGAAUCUCA
rnacentral:lncRNA from 1 species